rnacentral:rRNA from 1 species
CCUCAGUAACGGCGAGUGAAGCGGCAACAGCUCAAAUUUGAAAUCUGGCCUCUUUGGGGUCCGAGUUGUAAUUUGUAGAGGAUGUUUCGGGUACCGCCUCGGUUUAAAUUUCUUGGAACAGAAUGUCAGAGAGGGUGAGAAUCCCGUCUUGGACCGGCGGUAGGGCCCAUGUGAAACUCCUUCGACGAGUCGAGUUGUUUGGGAAUGCAGCUCAAAAUGGGUGGUAAAUUUCAUCUAAAGCUAAAUAUUGGCCAGAGACCGAUAGCGCACAAGUAGAGUGAUCGAAAGAUGAAAAGCACUUUGAAAAGAGAGUUAAACAGUAUGUGAAAUUGUUGAAAGGGAAGCGCUUACAACCAGACUUGAGCGCGGCGGUUCCCCCUUCCUUUUGGUUGGGUUACUCCGCCGUGUCCAGGCCAACAUCGGUUCUGGGGGUCGGUCAAAGGCUUUGGGAAUGUACCUACCCUUCGGGCGUAGACUUAUAGCCCAGAGUGUCAUGCGGCCUCCCGGGACCGAGGAACGCGCUUCGGCUCGGAUGUUGGCGUAAUGGUUGUCAGCGACCCGUCUUGAAACACGGACCAAGGAGUCUAACAUCUAUGCGAGUGUUUGGGUGUCAAACCCGGAACGCGAAAUGAAAGUGAACGGAGGUAGGAAGCCGUGAGGCUGCACUAUCGACCGAUCCUGAUGUCUUCGGAUGGAUUUGAGUAAGAGCAUAGCUGUUGGGACCCGAAAGAUGGUGAACUAUGCCUGAAUAGGGUGAAGCCAGAGGAAACUCUGGUGGAGGCUCGCAGCGGUUCUGACGUGCAAAUCGAUCGUCAAAUUUAGGUAUAGGGGCGAAAGACUAAUCGAACAUCUUGGA